rnacentral:lncRNA from 1 species
GUUGAAUCACCAAAGAACAAUAGGUCAUUGCCCAGAAUCUGGUCAAGAGAGAUAUUAGGAGCCACAAUGUAAAUCGAACAUUUGCAUAGACGGCACUAGUUAACAAGGCUACGCGCUUUUAUUGCACAGUUCCUUUAGAACAAACUCAGACAAUGAAACAAGAUCUUGCAAAUAGGUUGAAUCACCAAAGAACAAUAGGUCAUUGCCCAGAAUCUGGUCAAGAGAGAUAUUAGGAGCCACAAUGUAAAUUGAACAUUUGCAUAGACGGCACUAGUUAACAAGGCUACGUGCUUUUAUACACAUGCACCUCAAAGUGUGAAGCAACUUCGUAACCAUCAUUCCUUGGACAACAAUUUACUUCCUUCAUGAUCAAUACAAAUAAUAGCGAACAAUAAUAACCAUGAAUGCGUGCUUGCAUGCAGGGGCCCAUGUGCAUGUGUUUCAUGAAUUAGAUGGAUAUCAUGGAACAUAGUCCAUUGCCUGGAAAUAUUCACUUAAAGAAAGUGAAUAAAAACAUCUGUUAACCAGAUGUGACAACAUAAGCAGGAAAAGUGAAUUUUGACCUUUCACCCAGAGUGUGAAACCAUCAAAAGUUUUCUCCAAUUUCAGGCACUGCAAAAAUUUGAUCUUCCACAAUGGAAAAUUUCAGUGUUACAUCCCUAUUCAAAAAUGAUUUUCCAAACUUGGAAGUUCUGUUUUAUUUUCAUCAGCUCUGGAAUUGAUAUCAAAUUUAACAC